rfam:Asian citrus Psyllid, Diaphorina citri - Florida Strain, whole genome shotgun sequence.
GCCUCGGUAGCGUAGUGGUCAAGACGCUCGCCUGGUAAACAGGAGGGCGUGGGUUCGGUCCCAGCCGAGGCA